rnacentral:rRNA from 1 species
GACGAACGCUGGCGGCGUGCUUAACACAUGCAAGUCGAGCGGAAAGGCUCCUUCGGGGGUACUCGAGCGGCGAACGGGUGAGUAACACGUGAGUAAUCUGCCCUGUGCUCUGGGAUAGCCACCGGAAACGGUGAUUAAUACCGGAUAUGACCGCUACACGCAUGUGUUGGUGGUGGAAAGUUUUUCGGCACAGGAUGUGCUCGCGGCCUAUCAGCUUGUUGGUGAGGUAAUGGCUCACCAAGGCUUUGACGGGUAGCCGGCCUGAGAGGGUGACCGGUCACACUGGGACUGAGACACGGCCCAGACUCCUACGGGAGGCAGCAGUGGGGAAUAUUGGACAAUGGGCGGAAGCCUGAUCCAGCAACGCCGCGUGAGGGAUGACGGCCUUCGGGUUGUAAACCUCUUUCAGUACCGACGAAGCGAGAGUGACGGUAGGUACAGAAGAAGGACCGGCCAACUACGUGCCAGCCGCCGCCGUAACAC